GAGCGGCGAACGGGUGAGUAACACGUGAGUAACCUGCCCUGGACUUUGGGAUAACCCUCGGAAACGGGGGCUAAUACCGGAUACGACUUUUCCUCGCAUGGGGAAGGGUGGAAAGUUUUUCGGUCUGGGAUGGGCUCGCGGCCUAUCAGCUUGUUGGUGGGGUGAUGGCCUACCAAGGCGACGACGGGUAGCCGGCCUGAGAGGGCGACCGGCCACACUGGGACUGAGACACGGCCCAGACUCCUACGGGAGGCAGCAGUGGGGAAUAUUGCACAAUGGGCGGAAGCCUGAUGCAGCGACGCCGCGUGAGGGAUGACGGCCUUCGGGUUGUAAACCUCUUUCAGCAGGGACGAAGCGUAAGUGACGGUACCUGCAGAAGAAGCGCCGGCCAACUACGUGCCAGCAGCCGCGGUAAGACGUAGGGCGCGAGCGUUGUCCGGAUUUAUUGGGCGUAAAGAGCUCGUAGGCGGCUUGUCGCGUCGAAUGUGAAAACCUGCAGCUCAACUGCAGGCUUGCAUUCGAUACGGGCAGGCUCGAGUUCGGUAGGGGAGACUGGAAUUCCU
rnacentral:rRNA from 2 species